GAUGAACGCUGGCGGCGUGCUUAACACAUGCAAGUCGAACGGGAUCCAUCAGGCUUUGCUUGGUGGUGAGAGUGGCGGACGGGUGAGUAAUGCGUGACCGACCUGCCCCAUACACCGGAAUAGCUCCUGGAAACGGGUGGUAAUGCCGGAUGCUCCAGUUGAUCGCAUGGUCUUCUGGGAAAGCUUUCGCGGUAUGGGAUGGGGUCGCGUCCUAUCAGCUUGACGGCGGGGUAACGGCCCACUGUGGCUUCGACGGGUAGCCGGCCUGAGAGGGCGACCGGCGACAUUGGGACUGAGAUACGGACCAGACUCCUACGGGAGGCAGCAGUGGGGAAUAUUGCACAAUGGGCGCAAGCCUGAUGCAGCGACGCCGCGUGAGGGAUGGAGGCCUUCGGGUUGUAAACCUCUUUUAUCGGGGAGCAAGCGAGAGUGAGUUUACCCGUUGAAUAAGCACCGGCUAACUACGUGCCAGCCGCCGCCGUAA
rnacentral:rRNA from 1 species